rnacentral:rRNA from 1 species
UACAGAGGGGGCAAGCGUUGUUCGGAAUUACUGGGCGUAAAGCGCACGUAGGCGGCCUGUUAAGUCGGGUGUGAAAGCCCUGGGCUCAACCCAGGAAGUGCAUUCGAAACUGGCGGGCUUGAAUAUGGAAGAGGGUCGCGGAAUUCCCGGUGUAGAGGUGAAAUUCGUAGAUAUCAGGAGGAACACCGGUGGCGAAGGCGGGUCUCUGGGCCGAAACUGACGCUGAGGAGCGAAAGCGUGGGGAGCAAACAGG